UUUGGUGGGAGGCCCUGGACCUAGAAAGAAACAUAGUGGAGAAAACUAAACAAGAAUCUUUCUUUCUUAAAUUAAACAUCGGACUGACAUCUCCUUUCAAACAUUCAUUGAGGAUCUACUCUGUGAGAAGUAGCAAUACCAUGUUAUCUCAUUCUAGUUCCAGUUCUAGUUGACUUGUCAAACAACUGCUAAGAAGUAGAAAGGAGGCUUCACCAUGUUUGCCAGGAUGGUCUUGAACUCUUGACCUCAGGUGAUCCACCCACCUCGGCCUCCCAAAGUGCUAGGAUUACAGGCAUGAGCCACCACACCCGGCUGUUUCUGUGUCACGUUUUGAUACUUGAAUAAAAAUGACACUUUGGAGUCUUGAAAAAUGGACUUUCCUUCUGAAGUACCCAGGAGAGUAGGAUGGACUUCUUCUCUCCCUACACUACCCCUUGGAAAAAACCUUUUAUCAAGAAGAUACCAAAUAUCAUCACUGAUAUAAUGUCAGAGGAGGCCACUCUCUAUAGCCCAACCUCCAGGAUUUCAGCACUUCGUGGACAUGGAGGCUGGUGCAUUUUUUCACUUGGCUUUACUUCUGCUCGAAGACCAUUGCUCAGAAGUAGUGACAUGGGUUCAUCCAACUUCAAGGAAAGCUAGCAAAUUAAGGGAACAGCAGGUAUUCAGGGAGCACUGACUGCUUCUAGCACAUGCUCUGAAGGAUUCUCUGAACCUGCUUUAUUUCCCUUAGUUCCAUAAUUUUGGGGUGUGCCUCCUGGCAUCGCGUCUCUACUGUAUAUUGAUAACAUUCUCUAAAGGUAAGAAUUCUCUAAAGAAUACAUGGAUAAAAUGGUCCUAAAGGGAACACAGAAGGAAGAAGAAAGAAGCAGUGAACACAUAUAUGGUACUGGCACUAUUUACUAGCUGAUGACCUCAGCAGAUUAUUUAAACCCAUUGUGCUUCAACUACCUUAUCUGUAAAGAUAGGAGUGAUAAUAAUAGCACCCGCCUCAUAGGAUUGUUUUGAGGACAAAAUUAAUGUACAUGAGACACUUAGAACAGUGCCUGGAACAUGGAGAGCACAAUAAGUCCUAGUUAUUAUUAUUUCAUGAACAAUUAAAUUCUGAAUAAUAGAGAACUGAAAAUAAAAGUGAUUGUAAAUUUAUAAAAUUUUAAAUCAUCUCCUGUAUAAACCCCAGACUAAUGAAGAAGGUUCUCAUUUUAAUAUGUUUUAUUACAAGGAUUAUGGAAACCCAUAAAAAAUAAACACAGAAUGUGUUCCUUCCCUGCACAUGUGGCACUUUGGCUGGAGGUAAACAUUUUGUUUUUGGAAAAGCUGAAAAAGAGCAAGGCAAAAGAGCCAAUGUGUAGAGGGCACUUAGGAUGUGUUUUGGAAUUGCACACCAUAUUGCUUUAUUGAAACUCUCGUUCAGUAUCAAGGGACUGUGUGAUGAGGGUCCCCAGGGCGAAGGGCCCCAUCAGAUGCUUUCAGAGGACUCAGGCCCACCCCUGCUGAUGUGGCUCUGUGAUGAUGGCUUGUCUUCUAAGUUGUCAGCAGGAAGAUAUUCUUGCUGCCUUCUUUCCCUCUGCAUUGCCAACAAGGAAGAACAGCCGGGGCAAAUGAGACAAUCUUUUUCCAAUUACAUGGUAUGCAUAUUUUAUUUCAGCCACCGCCUGUGAGAAACAUGAUCCUGAGUGAUUUAGUGGUGCUGAGGCAAAGCCAGCCCAUGAAAGAUUUGGAAGUACAUUGGCAAAUUUCCAGAAGAUUAUUUGGGUGAAAUGGCAUGGAGAAGGCCGAGUUGAAAUUUUCCUUGUGCUGAACUAAGUAAAACAUCAGCCAAAAUUCCAGCCAACAGUUUUUGCAAAGGCAUAACUUCUGAACCAGAGUCUAAACAAAAACCCUGUCCAGGGCCAGCUUUUCAUUUCGUCAAUGAGGAAAACAAGGUCCUGAAAAGUUCAAUGACUUACUCAAGUUCACAUGAACUGAGAAGAGCGCAGGGAUUCGCCGUCUUCCAAACCACUGCUCUUUCCAUGACAUCUUACUGCCUUCUACCUAAUGUGCAAACACCAUAGACUCCACCUGGAUUUCUUAUACAUCAUAUCAGAUUUCACCACAAGUCCAGUGACAAAGAUUGUCCUUACAUCAUACUUGAGGAGCCCAGUCAGUUUUGAAGAAAGAAGAGGAAAUCAGAAAGAUAACAUGACUUACUCAUGAUCACACAGUCACCGGGAUUGGAUCUUAGAUUUUCUAAGUCCAUGGCUGGCACUUUGCAACUUAAAUACUUUUGGGUAAGGAAUGGGGUGUCUGUAUGCAAGAAAUGCACCAAAAGCACUCGCUGACACACAAGUGAACACAAACACAGCUCGGACAAAGUGAAGUGUUCCUUCCGUGCUCCAGUUCUUCUCGGCCAUUUGUGUCUCUUCAUCUCACUCUACUUUUCUAUAUCUGUGAGUUUGGCUAUCUUUUUCUCUAUAGAUUGGAUUCUCGUUUAUUUGUUUUUCUGCCUACUGAAAUUCUAAGCAUUGUUUAUGUUCCAUCUCAGAUACAAUUAAUUCAUUUGGUAUUCUUUUGAUUUGUAUUGACUGUUUCCCUCCUUAGCCUUGGCCUCUCAAAACAAUGCUAUUUAUACAUGACUUUGGAUGCUUUAUCAUAUGGAUAUGUGUGAGAAUGACUCAUGUUCAUAUCUGUCUCUUCUUAGGAGGGUCAGCUUUAUAAGAGCAAAGAACAUGGCUUGUUAUUUCUGGGCUUUCCUUGGCUUGUACGUAGGAAGAGAUAAGUACACAUGGGACGAAUUUAAUUAAGGAUUUGUAUGAGCAACUCAUGGCAAUGACAAGCCACGAAAUAAAAAAUUUACCUUUUCCUUCUUGCGCAGUAGGAUUCUGAACUCCCUUAGAUGAUCAAGCGGCAAUUGCAGAGCAGAGGGAGAAUGGCAGACACUAGCAAAAGAACCAGUUGUGACAGGUGGUGCUAGUUAGAGUGACAGAAAGCAGAGAUGUCUGAGGUUUCCCUUUACAAGCACUCAUCCUGCCUCACUUGCCUGCUUUAUUAUGCAUCUUUCCUAUUCAACUGAAAACUUCAUGAGCUUGUUCCCCAUUGUAUUCUCAAUGCCUAGCAUCGUGCAGGGUUAGAGGAGGAGCUUAGAAAUAUUUUUUGACUGAAUGACAUGACAGUUGAGUCUUUUACAGUAAAAAUAGAAAAGGAGAACACACGUCAUGUACAGAUUGUUUAUUCACUGAUCAUGGUCUCUGCAUAAAGUGUUUUGAUUGUUAGUGUGUGUUUUUGUUCAUUUGAAUGGCUUAUGCCUUUGUAAGUUUUGUUUUUUACCCACUUCCGUAUGUCUUUCUGUUUUUGGUUACGUUUCUACACUGCCAAAACAAAAUAAAGCCAACAGCUGCCUCCA